rnacentral:rRNA from 1 species
CUUGGUCAAGGUUAAUAGCCUUGGCAUAGGGUGGUAGACAGGUCAGCGCGCGCGGUAAUCUGCCCGGGUGUGCCAGUAUAGUUGCUAAAGCGUUCGUAGCUGUUUGUAGUCUUAGUGAAAUUCUCUGUACUGGAGGAGCGUGCUGAGAUACUGCAGACUGGGACUGGGAGAGGAUAGAGGUACUCCCGGGGAAGGGUAAAAUCCUAUAUCCUGGGGGACCACCUGUGGCGAAGGCGUCUAUCUAGAACAGGUCCGACAGUGAGGGACGAAAGCUAGGGUAGCGAUCGGGAUUAGAUACCCCGGUAGUCCUAGCCGUAAACGAUGCCCACUUGGUGUUAAAAACCUUACGAGGGUUUUUAGUGCCGUAGCGUAGGUGUUAAGUGGGCCGCCUGGGGAGUACGACCGCAAGGUUAAAACUUAAGGGAAUUGGCGGGGGACCACACAAGGAGUGAAGACUGCGGUUCAAUCGGAUCCAACGCCGUGAAUCUUACGGGGAUCGACAGCAGAAUGAAGGUCAGUUUGAAGGGCUUACCUAACAAGCUGAGAAGUGUUGCAUGGCCAUCGUCAGCUCGUACCGUGAGGCGUGCUCUUAAGUGAGUUAACGAGCGAGACCCGCAUCUCAUGUUGCUAAUCCGGUGAGGAAGCACUUAUGAGAGACCGCUGGUGAUAAACCAGAGGAAGGAGCGGGCGACGGUAGGUCGGUAUGGCCUGAAUUUCCCCGGCUACACGCGGUCUGCAAUGCACGAGCCAAUGGGCUGCAACCCCGAAAGGGGACGCCAAUCUCUUAAACUCGUGCCGAGUUCGGAUUGAGGUUUGUAACUCAGCCUCAUGAAGCUGGAAUUCCUAGUAGACAAACGUCAUCAUCGUUCGUCGAAUACGUCCCUGGUCCUUGCACACACCGCCCGUCAAGCCAUCCGAGUGGGGUUUAAAUGAGGCUUUCUCCUCGUGUGAAAGUCGAAUUUGGGUCCUGCAAGGGGGGCUAAGUCGUAACAAGGUAGCCGU